UACGUAGGGGGCAAGCGUUGUCCGGAUUUAUUGGGCGUAAAGAGCGUGUAGGCGGCUUUACAGGUCCGUUGUGAAAACUCGAGGCUCAACCUCGAGACGCCGGUGGAAACCGUAAAGCUAGAGUCCGGAAGAGGAGAGUGGAAUUCCUGGUGUAGCGGUGAAAUGCGCAGAUAUCAGGAGGAACACCGGUGGCGAAAGCGGUUUCCUGGCCGAGUACUGACGCUGAGGCACGAAAGCGUGGGGAGCGAACGGG
rnacentral:rRNA from 1 species